CAGGAGCCACUAGGAGGUGCACAUGCUGUCCCGUCUUGGACUUCACAACAGAUAAAACAAGCUAUAAAUGAAUCAAUGGAUGAGCUUCUGAAGAUGGACACACAAUAGCUACUAAAACAUCGCAUGCUUAAGUUCCGGAAAAUUGGUGGAUUUCAAGAAGGAAUCCCCAUUGAUCCGGAGAGAAAAGUCAACAUGAAAAAGAAAGAAGAACCUAUUUUUGGCCAGACUUCAAAUG